rnacentral:rRNA from 1 species
UACGUAGGGCGCGAGCGUUGUCCGGAAUUAUUGGGCGUAAAGGGUGCGUAGGCGGCGCGGUAAGUCGGGUGUGAAAUCUCGGAGCUUAACUCCGAAACUGCAUUCGAUACUGCCGUGCUUGAGGACUGGAGAGGAGACUGGAAUUUACGGUGUAGCGGUGAAAUGCGUAGAUAUCGUAAGGAAGACCAGUGGCGAAGGCGGGUCUCUGGACAGUUCCUGACGCUGAGGCACGAAGGUCAGGGGAGCAAACGGG